rnacentral:rRNA from 1 species
GGUAACUGCGUGCCGGCGGCGCGGGUAAUACGUAGGGGGCAAGCUGUGUCCUGAAUUAUUGGGCGGAAAGCGAGCGGAGGCGUUUCCUUAAGUCUGAUGUGAAAGCCCUGGGCUCAACCUGGGAAUUGCAGUGGAUACUGGAUCACUAGAGUGUGGUAGAGGGAUGCGGAAUUUCUGGUGUAGCAGUGAAAUGCGUAGAGAUCAGAAGGAACAUCUGUGGCGAAGGCGGCAUCCUGGGCCAACACUGACACUGAGGCACGAAAGCGUGGGGAGCAAACAGGAUUAGAUACCCUGGUAGUC